GAUGAAGAACGUAGCGAAUUGCGAUAUGUAAUGUGAAUUGCAGAAUUCAGUGAAUCAUCGAAUCUUUGAACGCAACUUGCACCCUCUGGUAUUCCGGAGGGUAUGCCUGUUUGAGUGUCAUUAACAUCUCAACGCUUGAUGGGUUCUUGUAACCCGUUCAGUGGUUGGACUUUGAAGGUUGCCGGUGUCAAAGCCAGCUCCUUUUAAAUGCAUGAGCAAGGACUAUUCCGAAUCGGCUUCGGUUUGAUAAAUUUGACUUAUCUGAUGCCGUCGCUGAGGAACUAUGGUCGACCUGCUUCUAAUUGUCUUCGGACUGUCUCCUUGUGAGGCAACUAUAUUGACUCUUGACCUCAAAUCAGGUAGGACUACCCGCUGAACUUAAGCAUAUCAAUAAGCGGAGGA
rnacentral:misc_RNA from 1 species